UUAAUCAAGGGAGAUCAUUCUUGAGGAGAAACAGAAUGCAGAUUGGCAACAGAAGUCUGAUGGUGUCUAUGGCAUUUGAUUUGCUACUCCCACAGCCCCAACUGUGUUCCCACUGUCUCCUUGUAGCCAAGAUGUAGCCACUGCCUCCCAAGUUAGCAUGGGUUGUCUCAUCAAAGGCUACUUUCCCGAACCAGCUACGGUGCAAUGGAACUCAGGUGCCAUCACCAGCGGAAUCCAUCAGUUCCCUUCAGUUUUGUUUCCAUCUGGCCUCUAUACCCACAGCAGCCAGCUCACCGUCCCCAUCAGCCAGUGGAAAUCAGACUCAUUCCAGUGCAACGUUAACCAUGCAGCCACCAGCUCCAGAAUUACCAAAAAAAUUGAGCGUGCUCCAACCCAUGACCCAAUGCCCCCCGAGGUACGCCUUCUCCAUUCUUCAUGCAAUCCCAAAGUUAGUGAUGGGAUCAUACAGCUGGUGUGCCUGAUUUCGGGUUUCUACCCCAAAGAGCUGAACGUUGAAUGGCUGGUGGGCAGCCAACAGGUGAUUUCAUCCACUGAGCCUCCCAGGCAGGAUGUAAGUGGGUACACUUUCAGUACCACCAGCACGAUCAACGUAACCCAAGCAGAUUGGCUGGGAGGGAAUACUUACUACUGCCAAGUAACCCAUGCGGGGUCACAAACCAAGAUGAAAAGCAGAGCCAGGAAAUGUGAAGAUGGCAGUAGCUGUUCCUCCAGUGCUAUUAAUGUGUAUAUUCUGCCCCCAACACCGAGAGCCUUGUACACAGAUAGAAAUAGCAAGCUCAGCUGUGUGGUGGGCAAUCUGGAAAACGAUCAGAGGUUGAAAUUUACCUGGUCUCGGGGCAAGGGUGGAAAUGUAAACCCUGAUUUAGCGGAAACAACAGAAGAACAGAAUGGUACCUACACCAUUGUCAGCCGCCUCUCCGUCUUCCCCCAUGACUGGGACUCGGGAGAGAUUUUCACCUGUGCAGUGGAAUAUCCAGGCUUGGCUGUUCCCAUCACAAAGAUAAUUUCCAAGCUCGCAGGCAAGAGCAGUGCACCCAAGGUCUCCAUCUUCCCUCCCCCCCAAGAGGAACUCAACCCAGGCAACAUUAUGAGUCUUUCCUGCAUGGUGAAUGGGUUUUCCCCAGCAUAUCUUGAUAUCCAGUGGCUAAAGAAUUACAAUCCUCUGCCAGAAGACAACUUUGUGAAUACCCCAGCUAUGAAGAAUAACCAUGAAGAUUCCUUCUUCGCCUACAGCAAACUGAGUAUCCCCAGAGAUGAUUGGGAACGGUCCGAUGUAUUCACCUGUAUGGUGGUCCAUGAAGCCCUCCCCAUGAAGUUCACUCAGAGGAACAUGUCAAAAUCUCAGGGUAAAAAAUGAAGACUGAUCUCAACCAGCUUCUCCAUUUCAAUCCAUCCUAGAUUUGCCUCUAGUACUGUCAGACCAAACUGUUAAUUAUUUCUCUACUCACCCAUUUGGCUUCUGGAUGAAUAAAAGCAAACCAUCUCAGAAA